AACGAACGCUGGCGGCAGGCCUAACACAUGCAAGUCGAACGCCCGUAGCAAUACGGGAGUGGCAGACGGGUGAGUAACGCGUGGGAACGUGCCCUUCGGUUCGGAAUAACUCAGGGAAACUUGAGCUAAUACCGGAUACGUCCGUAAGGAGAAAGAUUUAUUGCCGAAGGAUCGGCCCGCGUCGGAUUAGCUAGUUGGUGGGGUAAUGGCCCACCAAGGCGACGAUCCGUAGCUGGUCUGAGAGGAUGAUCAGCCACACUGGGACUGAGACACGGCCCACGACUCCUACGGGAGGCAGCAGUGGGGAAGUCUUGCGCAAUGGGCGAAAGCCUGACGCAGCGACGCCGCGUGA
rnacentral:rRNA from 1 species